rnacentral:rRNA from 1 species
GACGAAUGCUGGCGGCGUGCUUAACACAUGCUAGUCGAACGGAAAGGCCCUGCUUUUGUGGGGUGCUCGAGUGGCGAACGGGUGAGUAACACGUGCGAAACCUGCCCUCUACUUUGGGAUAUCUUCAGGAAACUUGGGCUCAUAACGGUUAGGAGCUCCUGCUGCCUGGUGGGGGUUGGAAAGUUCCGGCGUUUGGGGAUGGACUUACGGCUUCUCCGCCUUUUGGUGGUGUAGUGGCUUACCAAGGCUUUGACGGGUAGCCGUCCUGAGAGGGUGACCGGCCACAUUGUGUCAGAGACACGGCCCAGACUCCUACGGGAGGCAGCAGUGGGGAAUAUUGCACAAGGGGCGGAAGCAUGAUGCAGCAGCGCCGCGUGCGGGAUGACGGCCUUCGGGUUGUAAUCCGCUUGCGCCUGUAACGAAGCGUGAGUGACGGUAAUGGGUAAAGAAGCACCGGCUAACUACGU